rnacentral:rRNA from 1 species
GACGAACGCUGGCGGCGUGCUUAACACAUGCAAGUCGAACGGAAAGGCCCUGCUUUUGUGGGGUGCUCGAGUGGCGAACGGGUGAGUAACACGUGAGUAACCUGCCCUUGACUUUGGGAUAACUUCAGGAAACUGGGGCUAAUACCGGAUAGGAGCUCCUGCUGCAUGGUGGGGGUUGGAAAGUUUCGGCGGUUGGGGAUGGACUCGCGGCUUAUCAGCUUGUUGGUGGGGUAGUGGCUUACCAAGGCUUUGACGGGUAGCCGGCCUGAGAGGGUGACCGGCAACAUUGGGACUGAGAUACGGCCCAGACUCCUACGGGAGGAAACAGUGGGGAAUAUUGCACAAUGGGCGGAAGCCUGAUGCAGCAACGCCGCGUGCGGGAUGACGGCCUUCGGGUUGUAAACCGCUUUCGCCUGUGACGAAGCGUGAGUGACGGUAAUGGGUAAAGAAGCACCGGCUAACUACGU